rnacentral:sRNA from 2 species
UUGACAAUUGGACCGUGAAGGCAUACUUUCAGGAGUGAGGGUAGAGCGGGGUUUCCCCUGCCCUGGUAGUCUUAGUAUGCUGGGUAGCUAAUCACUAAGAGCACCACGAUGAUGAGUAUCUUCAUCAUGACCCUUUCCUUAUU